ACACACACAGUGGGGAAUUGAUAUUCUUGAGAAAUAUAUCAAGUUUGUGAAAGAAAGGACAGAGAUUGAACUCAGCUAUGCAAAGCAACUCAGGAAUCUUUCAAAGAAGUACCAACCUAAAAAGAACUCGAAGGAGGAAGAAGAAUACAAGUAUACGUCAUGUAAAGCUUUCAUUUCCAACCUGAACGAAAUGAAUGAUUACGCAGGGCAGCAUGAAGUUAUCUCCGAGAACAUGGCAUCACAGAUCAUUGUGGACUUGGCACGCUAUGUUCAGGAACUGAAACAGGAGAGGAAAUCAGUAAGCAAAACUUUAUUCUUUUUCUUCCUAAAAGAUGGACCAAACACAGUGGGAAUAUCCCUAGAAGAUUAAAAUUAAAUAAAACCAUAUAAGACUAUGGGUCUUAAACUCAUACCUU
rnacentral:lncRNA from 1 species